AGCGAACGCUGGCGGCAGGCCUAACACAUGCAAGUCGAACGAACUCUUCGGAGUUAGUGGCGGACGGGUGAGUAACACGUGGGAACGUGCCUUUUGGUUCGGAAUAACUCAGGGAAACUUGUGCUAAUACCGAAUGUGCCCUUCGGGGGAAAGAUUUAUCGCCAUUAGAGCGGCCCGCGUCUGAUUAGCUAGUUGGUGAGGUAACGGCUCACCAAGGCGACGAUCAGUAGCUGGUCUGAGAGGAUGACCAGCCACACUGGGACUGAGACACGGCCCAGACUCCUACGGGAGGCAGCAGUGGGGAAUCUUGCGCAAUGGGCGAAAGCCUGACGCAGCCAUGCCGCGUGAAUGAUGAAGGUCCUAGGAUUGUAAAAUUCUUUCACCGGGGACGAUAAUGACGGUACCCGGAGAAGAAGCCCCGGCUAACUUCGUGC
rnacentral:rRNA from 1 species